GACUUUAAUAAAAAGAUAUUUUGAAAGUAUCUAACAAGAAUUAUUCUUUGGAGUCA
rnacentral:tRNA from 1 species